CUCCUUGACUCUCUGACCUUUGUUUUUUUUUUGUGUGUUGGUUUGGUGGUUUGUUUUUUUUUUGUGUGUGUGUGGUUUGUUUUGUGGUUUUUUUUUUUUUUUGCCCCUCCUUUCCCUGUGCUUCUCCUGAACGGGGCAUGAAUUCAAGCCUACAAAAACAAACAAAAAAAAGAAAUAGCCAAGUGUAAUUUAAAGAGUAGAAUCAGGUGCAAAAUGGAAGUGGUACCAAAACGAAGCCUUUUGUUGGUGUGUUUUGUUUGAUCUCCUCCUAGCCCGGUCUGGACAACGCUAUGCAAAUGGAAAUGACUUUUCUAGCAAACAAAGCCAUUGUGUACCCUAGAUAAUAUGCAUUUCGAGGAUAAGCUCUUUUCUUCCACGUGUAGAUUCCCUCUUGUCUCCUUUUGUAUAUGUUAUAUAUAGAGUGUGUUCUAUUUAAAAGCUCUGAGACUUUAUUUUCUGGCUCUCGGUUGUACCUUUAUACAAUUGUAUUUGAAAGUGAAAUAUAUUUUUUAUCGUGUAUUUGAAGUAUAUUGCUGAUGAGUGCUGUAUUCUGAGUGUUAGAUUGGCUUAAACUACCCUAGGUAAGAGGCUGAUGACAAAUAGCAGAGUGAAAAUGAUCUUUUAAGUGCAUCCUCCCUGGCUGGCACACUUUUUAUCAGCCCUAGCUUUACGUGGUGGUCAUACCCACGUGUCUGGAGCAUGAAAUGUAUGUGCUGUAAUAAAAUUAACAGUAUUGUAAUGAGUUGUUAACUCCGACGCCCGUACUUCACCGAGCUGUAUACCCUUAUGCACAGAAUGAAUGAUCUUAACUUCUGAGAGUUGUCUCUAUUUGUAAGUUAUUUUUGUAAAAUAAAGAUCUGGGGGGAAAAAAAAUUAUAUAUAUAUAUUAAAUAAAUCUAUGCCUACCAGUGAUUUGACUCGCCGGCAUCCUCCUCCUCCUCCUCAGAGAAAGGAAAAAUUAAAAAAAAAAGCCAAAAAGAAGAAAUCCCAAAGAAAAAAAUCCCAAAGAAGAAGUCCCAAAGAAGAAAUCCCUUCUCUCCUUUGUUUGGUGCAGGAGCAAACAGUGCUGCGUUGUCGAAGCGCGGGGCAAGAUUUCAGCUGCUGCAGGACAUCUGAAGUAGAUCAUCUUGAAUCGUGGUCAUCUUUGUCUCGGGACAAGGUAACUCCUGUUAAAUUAACGAUGACUCUCCAACCAUCACCAACUUAUUGCUGGUUUGCAUGUUCUGCAAUUCCA
rnacentral:lncRNA from 1 species